AUGGAAUACUACUCAGUCAAAAAAAAUGAAGUCAUGUCUUUUGAAGUAACAUGGAUGGAACUGGAGGCCGUUAUCUUAAGUGAAAUAACGCAGAAACAGAAAAUCAAACACCACGUUUUCAUUUAUAAGUGGGAGCUAAAUAGUGUAUAAACUAGGACAAAUUGUGAAAUGAUGGACAUUGGAGACUCGGGAGGGUAGGGAAUAGGAGACAGGUGGGUGAUGAAAAAUUACUUAAUGGGUAGGCAUAAUUUUCUAUAUGGUGAGCUUUGAAGUUAGUGACCUGAGCUCACACAGGCCUACAUCUGAGCUGGGUCCAUCCUCAAGGCCCAACGCAGCACAUUCUUUAAGGCUUGUGGAAAUCACAAAUUGGAGGAAAAACAAGUAUUUUUCUCAGUAUAUAUUUAAGGUUUCCUGAAGUGUGGUCACACCUCAGAAAGAGCUUGAGAAAAUGUCCUCAUUUCUGACAUCUCAGCAAACCCCUGACAAUUGCAGUGAAUUCAGCUCUGCAGCAGAAAAAAUCUGGGGUCAUAUGCUCUGCUGAUACCUUUUUCCAAUAGGGCCCCUGUGUGUCCUCGGAUGCUCACUCCUGACCCCAACAGCCCAAGCUAACCCCCCCUUCUAAAUCAACAAAGCUAACCUAUAACAACCCUUGGGACUUAAGCUGUGCACUGGUUUCCAACUUGCUCCAUAACCCCUGACUCCAUGGCCCUCAGUAGAUAAUGUGGGUGCUACCCAGAUCCCUUGAGCUCCCUUUACCAUUUCUGUGCCCCUGUGGAAAGCUUCGGUGUACUUUUGACAGCAUUCGCCCAUGGUUCUUCAGAGGCCAGCCCUACAGCAACUGCAGCCACUUGCCUGCCCACACCCAGUAGGGUUGCCAGGGAGUCUAUUUUUCCUCCAGGAUGGCCUCCAACAGUGCUAGCGCAGGGGUGUGAAAGUCUCAGGUUGGGACAUCUCUGAGGAGUCACCUGCCCUCCCGAAUUCCCUGCAGGAUGGGGUGAAGCUGCCUGCUGCAGCCUUUGCUUGAAAUUCACCCUUGCAGUCUCUGUCACUCCUGUGUCCCUGUCCUGCUCUGCUUACCCUGCUCCCUUAUGGGGCACCCAUAGUCCACAGGUCUCCUCUCAGGCGCUGCUUCUGGAGCAGCCAACUCAAGCAUCCUCCACCCCACAGAGCUGAUUCAUCCAAGAUGGCCUAAUAAAUUUCACCUCCUGGGGUUUCACCAUCACAACACCAAGAGCUGGCCUGAGUUAGCUGAGCUUCAUGGUUGUGGGUGAGACCGUGGGUGAGACCCUGAACUGGCGAAGAGAGAAAGCUCAUUUGGAGAGGAAGGGUGAAGAGUGGGAGAGGGGACAGAGCUGCAUGAAGGAGCAGAUGUGUUGCCUGAGAGGCACAGAGUCUUCCUUGGCAUCACUCAGUGUUCCGAUCCUCAUUGCCUUCCCGAGGCCCUGCUGCACUGCAUUCCCUGCCAUGCUCUUUCAAAGUCUGUGUCCUGCAAUAUGCCCAUCAGCAGAGCUGCUCCAGUUGGCCUGUUCCUCCCAACAGAGGGAGGCCCACCUGAAACAAUCUGCAUGAGGAUGAGUCUGUUUGGAGACAUGUGGGGUCCAGGUGCUCUUCAUUCUCCAUCCCACAUUUGCAUUCACCUGAGGCUGGAUGGGGCAGCUCCCGUGCAUGCCAACAUCGGCCCACCCCAAGUCCUGUCUCCCUCUCAGCCUCUGCAGGGACAUUUUCCAGCACCGGGGCAAAGGGGCAGCCUGGAAGGGGGGUGAGCAAGUGCUGCUAGGAGCCACCCUCAGUCGAUGUGGAAUGGGAGUCAGUGAUAAAUUCCCCAAU
rnacentral:lncRNA from 10 species